AUGUGGCUUGAUGUAAAUAAAGAUUUCAAAGACCUGCUGUUUUCCAUUCCAAUAAUUGCUUCCAGCAGCACAAUUCUUUUUUUUCCCCCAAAACAGGGUGUUCACUUCACUGAGCUUUUUCUUCUCCAACAUGAGCUUACUUGUGCGUCCUUUGUGGAGUUUGUAGAAGAGACUGCUCAUCGUUCCCAGUCAGUUUUCUCCUUCCUCUGCAGUAACAGAAUCCCCGCCAUAGCUGAGCAAAUUCCUCAGUGUUCACUGCAACUAUCACAGCCAGUUCUACCCAGUAGAGUAAGCAGAAGUGCUCCAUCAAACUGCAAGGAAAUAACAUGACUGGGCAUCAGUGUGACUUCUGAUUCAUCAUGCCUUUGGUUGGAAAAUAGGGGUGAAAACUAGAGCUGCAGGAGCUCCUGGGGAUGAGUUAACUCUGCAGGUAGGGCCAAAUACAGUAAAGCACAGGAUAAAAGAAUGAUACGAGCUCCAAGCCUACCUGGACAGCGUUCUGAUAUUUUGGGUAAGAUUGUUCUCCACCACCAUUUAUCAGCUGCUGUUUGUUUUAAACCAAGUUGUCUCAUACAGUGAUAGAAAAAGUUCUAUCACUGUCAGCUUCUUCCUACAAGGACAGUGGUUGCUUCUACCUGCCUGGCUUCUAUUUUUCCUGAUCUUAAUGCCUGCACCUCAAAUUCCCUUUGUGGAAUGAUCCCUUUGCCCAGCCUUAGUAGAACUGUCAAUUGAGAUGCAUCACCUGCCCCUAAGCUGGACCACAUGAAGUUUGAAUUUGAAUGGAAUUUGAAUUUUGAACAUUAUAAUUCCAGCUCCAAGAAUGCCAGAGUGACCAUGUCCUGGAGGUGGGUACUGAAGAACAGCUUCCAACUAAAGAAUAUUAAUCAAGAGAUGUAGCACUGAGGCUGUGAAUAGAAAAGCACCAUUUUACAAUUCUUGCAGUGCUAGAUUCCAGCAAGAAUUAUCAAUGGAUGCUAAAUCCAUGGUGGAUAAAACAUGCUGGGAACAGAAUAUCCACAUAGUCUCGAAAAGCCACUCCCUGGAUUCCUUCUGAGUCACAAAGGGGACGGAUCCACAGUGGCAGUGUGGCGGGCACUUCUUAAUCAAACCAAACAAAUGUCUCAGCCAGAGGGCACCCUGGGCCCUGAGUGUGGGCUCAGGGAAGAAGCAGCAUCGCGUAUGCAUCACGCACAUCGACACAGACUCAGCUCAGUCCAAUCAAAAUACCGUAGGGGACUCUUCAAGAUGAAAGGAGACAAAAAAUAAUAGCUAAAAUGCACGAUCCUUGAUUUGACCUUCAGCUAACACAAGUUACAAAGGGCAGCUUGGGGACAGCUGGGGAAACUGAGUAGGGUCUGUAUAUCAGAUUAUAGUAUAUGGUAUUGUUUGGGGGUGAACUCUCAGGGCAUUGACAUGGAGAAGGCUUCCUUCUUUGUUGUUAGGAGAUGCAUGCUGUGGGCAAAAUAUCAAUAUCUAUAAUUAAUAUUCAAAUGGUUCAGCAAAAAUUUUAAAUGGAUGGGAUAUAUACAGUAUAUCUCAUUUAGUAUGACUGCUUGAGAGACAUAAGCAAAUAGUACUGUUCUUGCAACUAUCCUGUAGAUUUAAAAUUUUUCCAAAUAAAAACGUGGAGGAAAAAAAUCUCUUUUUAUUUUUCUGUUUUUAGAGUGCAGUGUGGAGAUUGCCAUGUUCAUCUGUGUCACAGGCCUGGCGCCCUAUUUCCAAAGGGCCCAUGGGUGGCCAAGCUAUGACAAGAGCAGAGAGGUCCAUUCUCCCUGGGGGACACUGGCUGAUGUGGGUGAUGGGGCCACAUCCCCUCCAGUCCUGUUUCCUACCUUGCUCCUUCCCCUCUGUUUUCUAUCAUGGUAGACUGCUUCUCCUCCACAAACCACUUCUGUCCCCACCUCAGGACACUGGUGUUAACUGGCUUUGUGGUCUGGGUGCCGCUCUUCGGGUCUUUGCCGGGCUGCCCCUCUAGGCUGAGAAGCCAUCACCCCUCAAGGCCCUUUGUCUCUACCCUAACGCCCACUUUUUCCCCACGCUUCCUGUGUCACCAGCUGGAAGUCCUAUGUAUUUGUUAUCUGCACUCAGAGCGCUCCAGAGAAACAGAAUGAGUAGGAAACUAUAUACAAUGUUACGUAUAUUACACAUAGUAUCAUGUAAGUUAUCUUUUACAUAUACACAUAUAAUGAGCAAUCUAGCCUAUAUUUUAUAUAUGUCUAUAAUGUGAGGAAUUGACUCAUAUGAUGAUAUAGAGACUGGAAAGUUCCACAGUCUGUCAUCUGUGAGCAGGAGGCUCAGGAGACACAUGAGUACAGUUCAGUCUGAGUCUAAAGGCGUGUGUAAUGGUUGAUUGGUUGUGUUAACUUUAGAAGUUUAGAAGCUACUUUCAGGGUGUAGAGGACCCACCCUAGAGCAGCUGUCACCUGGACAGUAUAAAGGGAAAAUGAGGAAGGACAGGCUUGCUUCUGUUCUUUGCAGGAGCUCCAGUCUUCAUUAUGAGCUUCAUCUCAUGGCUUCUAGCACACACUUUUCAGCUUCCACCUCAGAUCCUUCAGCCUUCUGGUAUAGACUCUUCAGCCUUUCAUUGUAGACCCAUUGGCCUCCUGAUAUGGACUUGCAUGGGACACUGCAGUGAACUUCAGAUCUUGGACUGAAACUUUCAGUCUCCAGCGUGCAGACACCCUCUACAUGCUUCCUCAUCCAAAUCUGUGGGUGGCCAUUGUAAGCCAAUCUUGUAAUUUCUUAUACAUUUGUAUAUCUUGUGUUAGAUCUCUUUCUGUAGUAAAACCCUGACUGAUACAGACUGGAACCAGGACAGCAUUAGUGUAGUGUGAACCCCAAUGAGAAGCAGAAGAGAUGAAGUGUCCCAGCUCCCUUUGUCUUUUGCUCUGUCCAUAUACUCAGUGCAUUAGCUGUAACCAUCUCACACUUGGAGGGGGUCCACUCAGU
ensembl:lincRNA